GUAGAUACUCCACACAAUCAAACUUCUUAUUAACAACCCCAAUUCAUAAACGGAAACUGCAAACUUCGGAUAAUAUCAAAAUUAAACAUGCUACAAACAAACUUCCAAAACGUAAUACUCUUUGUGUGCUCUCAUAAAGUCCCCUCUAAUGAAUGUGUAACUUGUUCGAUGUCACUUACAAGGGAACUAACUCGAUGCAACCAGUCAACCUUUGAAACACACGCCCAUGACAAAGCAUUUCCCUUUGCAGAGUGAAAUGGGGGAGAAUGCGGAUAAGAAUUACAAGACUGAAAAUAACUUACUAUGGAGAGCUGAUUUUUUUUUGGAGCAGAGGACCAGAAAGCAUAGUGUCACAUCCAUUUACAGAGUUGCAGCUCAAGAAAAAAAUGUAAUUUAUCGAAUUCCAUAAAAAUUCACUUUGUAUGGAUAGCUCAAGUUGAGAACGAAUAUUAAGGUUUUGAAAAUUGAGCAAUAUGAAUGGUUCAGUAUUGGUCCGAGAUGGUACAAUAGACAGAUCACAUAAAACUUCUGUAUGGAUUGGGGGUUAUA